GAUGAAGAACGUAGCGAAAUGCGAUAAGUAAUGUGAAUUGCAGAAUUCAGUGAAUCAUCGAAUCUUUGAACGCACAUUGCGCCCGCCAGUAUUCUGGCGAGCAUGCCUGUUCGAGCGUCAUUUCAACCAUCAAGCCCCAGGCUUGUGUUGGAGCCCUGCGGCUGCCGCAGCCUCCCAAAACCAGUGGCGGGCUCGCUAUCACACCGAGUGCAGUAGUUUACUCUUCGCUCAGGGCGUGUGGCGGGUGCUAGCCGUGAAACCCCCCACUGUAACCCCAAAGGUUGACCUCGGAUCAGGUAGGAAUACCCGCUGAACUUAAGCAUAUCAAUAAGCGGAGGA
rnacentral:misc_RNA from 1 species